GGGCCUAUAGCUCNAGCUGGUUAGAGCGCACGCCUGAUAAGCGUGAGGUCGAUGGUUCGAGUCCAUUUAGGCCCA
rnacentral:tRNA from 1 species